AGCUUUGCGCAGUGGCAGUAUCGUAGCCAAUGAGGUUUAUCCGAGGCGCGAUUAUUGCUAAUUGAACAUCAGAAUCUUGACAACAAUCUGAGACUACAGAGAUCACUUCAGAAGUAAAUUUCAGUCAUGUAUAUUUUCA
rnacentral:snRNA from 1 species